UUGGAGGGCAAGUCUGGUGCCGGCAGCCGCGGUAAUUCCAGCUCCAAUAGCGUAUAUUAAAGUUGUUGCAGUUAAAAAGCUCGUAGUUGAACUUCGGGGUUUACCCAUCGGUCAGGCUUAAUUGUCUGUACUGGUGAGAUAAAUCUCUACCUUCUGAGGAACUUUCAUGCCAUUUAUUUGGUGUGAUUGGAAAUCAGGACUAUUACUUUGAAAAAAUUAGAGUGUUUAAAGCAGGCUAACGUCUGAAUAUAUUAGCAUGGAAUAAUGAAGUAGGACGGCUUGGUUCUAUUUCGUUGGUUUCUAGGAUCACCGUAAUGAUUAAUAGGGAUAGUUGGGGGCAUUAGUAUUCAAUUGUCAGAGGUGAAAUUCUUGGAUUUAUUGAAGACUAACUACUGCGAAAGCACUUGCCAAGGAUGUUUUCAUUAAUCAAGAACGAAAGUUAGGGGAUCGAAGACGAUCAGAUACCGUCGUAGUCUUAACCAUAAACUAUGCCGACUAGGAAUCAGACGAUGUUAAUUUUUUAAUGACUCGUUUGGCACCUUACGAGAAACCAAAGUGUUUGGGUUC
rnacentral:rRNA from 1 species